rnacentral:lncRNA from 1 species
AGAGGAAGUGGUGGAAGUCACUUUCAAUAGUGGUAAUGGUCGUCUUCCUCUUUCCUUUUCAUCUCCUUGCUGUUACUCAUCUAUUUGGCAUUAUAAAUAGUAUUUACAUUUAAAGAGGAGAUAUUAUGACAUUUGUGUCUAUCUCUGCUUAUUGGCUGCCUCAGCAAAAGGGGGACUGACCUUCCCGAGGUGCAUACCAAGGCUAACAUUCCUAGAGCUUCAGGUGUUUUGGUCAUUUAAUGGACACUCUUCCCAUUCAUCAGGUCAACAGGAUUCCUGUUAACAUUAAACGUACCUCAGGUGGGGGAAAGAAUGCUUCUGAGUAGAUGACAGAAGGAAAUCUCCCCUAAUUCUUGUUAGACUAAUAAAUAUUCCUUUUUCAUACAGUGUUGAAACUGGGAGAUCCUUAGAGAUGACCAGAAUCAGGCUCUCAUGUGAAGGGUAAGGAAACUGGUGUUCAAAGAGGUUGAAGGACUUGGUCAAAGAACGUAAACAGUGGUCCUCCAGAUUCACUGUCUACCCUCCACUCUGCUCUCAGCCCAGGAAACUGAUCCAUCGAGGCUGUAUCAAUAGACACCCUCACUCCCUGGCUUGCCCAAAGGGAGCUCUGGCAGGAGAUCCAAAGUGUGACACAAAACAUAAUUUUAGGUUAUAUGCUGAUCAAUAUCUAUUAUGUUAAGUUAUAUGUUAUUAGGGUGUGUUAGAAAAAAAUAGAAUGGCACACAACACCCAUGAUUUCAUGUAUGGUACAUCUUUGCUUAGGACAAAGGCAAAGCAGAAAUUAAUUUUAUUAAGUAAGUUGAUUUGAAGAAAGAUAUUGAGUCUACGGUAAAGUAGAUUGUAUUGAAAUGGUUUUAAAGUACUCACAGUGUCUGGGAAGCACACU